UACAGAGGUCCCAAGCGUUGUUCGGAUUCAUUGGGCGUAAAGGGUGCGUAGGCGGCGCGGUAAGUCGGGUGUGAAAUCUCGGGGCUUAACUCCGAAACUGCAUUCGAUACUGCCGUGCUUGAGGACUGGAGAGGAGACUGGAAUUUACGGUGUAGCGGUGAAAUGCGUAGAUAUCGUAAGGAAGACCAGUGGCGAAGGCGGGUCUCGUGGACAGUUCCUGACGCUGAGGCACGAAGGCCAGGGGAGCGAAACGGG
rnacentral:rRNA from 1 species